GGUUCCAUGAUGUAAUGGUUAGCACUCAAGACUCUGAAUCUUGCGAUCAAAAUUCAAAUCUCUGUGAAACCU
rnacentral:tRNA from 1 species